rnacentral:rRNA from 1 species
AGUGAACGCUGGCGGUAGGCCUAACACAUGCAAGUCGAACGGCAGCACAGUAAGAGCUUGCUCUUACGGGUGGCGAGUGGCGGACGGGUGAGGAAUACAUCGGAAUCUACUUUUUCGUGGGGGAUAACGUAGGGAAACUUACGCUAAUACCGCAUACGACCUACGGGUGAAAGCAGGGGAUCUUCGGACCUUGCGCGAUUGAAUGGGCCGAUGUCGGAUUAGCUAGUUGGCGGGGUAAAGGCCCACCAAGGCGACGAUCCGUAGCUGGUCUGAGAGGAUGAACAGCCACACUGGAAAUGAGACAAGGUCCAGACUCCUACGGGAGGCAGCAGUGGGGAAUAUUGGACAAUGGGCGCAAGCCUGAUCCAGCCAUACCGCGUGGGUGAAGAAGGCCUUCGGGUUGUAAAGCCCUUUUGUUGGGAAAGAAAAGCAGCAGGUUAAUACCCCGCUGUUCUGACGGUACCAAAAGAAUAAGCACCGGCUAACUUCGUG